AAAGCCUAUUGCUAUUGAAUAUUAUCUUGGUAUCCGAGCUUGAAAAGAUAAACAUCUAUUAUGUCUCUUUCAAUUGCUCCUGGGGAUUCACCUUGUGUUCCUUCGACCACCCAAGCAUUUGUUCCCCAUCUGCUACACCUUUUUCCUAAUAUUUUUAGCUACAAUCUUUCUAUAAAACUUGAUCAAAAGAACUUCUUCUUGUGGAACAGGUGCUGCUAAAUCUUCGUUAAAAUAAGUUAGAAGUCUUCAUCAAUGGCGUUAAGUUGUGCCCUUCGGAGUAUGUUUCCCUCACUAAUGGUUAAACUAAUAAUAGUGGCUCUACUUCAGUUACACCGUCAACUCAGAUUUCACACAUUUGGUCUAGCUUAACCAAUAUGGAUGCAUUUGUCCUGAGUCAAGUUCUCAAUUAUACUGCCACUUUUUAUCCUUGGCGAGCUCUUGAGCUCCUUUGCACUUCUCAAUCUAGAGCUCACAUCCUCAUAUUUAAAAUACAACUGCAAUUCAUAAAGAAGGGGUUAUCUAGCACCAAUGACUACAUAGUGCGCAUUAAGAAUGCUGAAAAUACUCUAGCAACUGCUAGGGACCUAUUUGAUGAACAAGACCUUAUUCUUUAUAUACUAAUAGGUUUUGGGUUUGAAUAUGACCCAAACGGUGCAAGCUUUACUUCUUAACCAUGUGACAAGGUUAGAAUAGCUCAACUCAGUUGUGGCUCCUGUUAACUUUGCUGCUGCAAAUUUGAUUGUGCACAGCAAUGGUCAAAAUAGCGGAAACAACAACAACAACAAUUAUUUAGAAAGAGGCAACCACUCUUUCAAUGGUAGAGGUGGAACUCAUGGAGGUGCACCACAAAGGGGUCAUGGUUGUAGAAGGGGUGACGCUAGAAGGAAUACUGGACCUAUAUGUCAAAUAUGCUGAAAGCCAAGACACAUUGUCACUUCAUGUUAUCUCUAUUUUGAUCAUUCCAUUCAUGGUCCUGGAGUAAACCAAAUGACCACUUACGCUACUCCUGAAAUUGUAGCAGUUACUUCCUAGUUUGUUGACAGUGGCGCCACUCAUCACAUGGCAUGAAUCUAGCCAAUCUUGAACAACACAGCUCCUAUCGUGGCCAUGAGAGACUGACCACUGGUAAUGGUAAAGGCUAUAGCAUAGAACACAAGGUUAUCAUGGCUUACUUUCUAGUGGACCAGUCUACAUCUCCCGUGACCAAAUGAUGAUCUAUCCAAUGGCUAGACGUGAACAAUGCCUUCUUAAAUGGUUUUCUUCAUGAUACUGUGUUCAUGUCUCAGCUUGAAGGCUUCAUUGAUCCCUCCAAACCCACCCAUGUUCGUUGAUUACAUAAGGCCAUCUAUGGUUUUAAGCAAGCACCGCGAGCAUGGUUUGAUAGACUUUGAUCCACUUUAGUUGCCAUAGGCUUCACCAAUGCCAAAUCUGAUGCAUCUCUGUUUAUGUAUAAUUUUUGUCCACGGUUGAUCCGUUUUCUUGCCUAUGUGGAUGAUAUUUUGGUAACUAGGAAUGAUACCACCUUUAUUCAACAGCUAAUUAGUGAGUGAACUCUCUUUCAAGGCUCCCUUUCAAGGCUCCCUUUUUGCCUUGAAAGACUUUGCAUUGAUGGCCUUAUUUUGUCUCAGUCAAAAUACAUUCUUGAUCUGCUAAAUAGAACUAACAUGUGUGAUUGUAAACUUUCUGAUACUCCGACAUGUACUAGCAGCUGUUUGUCUACAACAUUUGGGGAACUUUUCUCAAAUCCUUCUCUCUUUAGAAGCACCAUUGGGGCCCUUCAAUAACUUACUUUUACUUGGCCAUAGAUAGCUUUUAUAGUCAAUCAACUAAGUCAAUUUUUGAAAGAGCCUCAUCUUCCUCGUUAGUAGAUGCAAGCAUGUUCUCAGACACUUGAAAAGGAUAUCUCAAUUUGGUCUUCACAUCGGACCAGCUUUUCAUCAUGUGUUAAUUGCAUAUGCAACUUUUCAUCUUCACAAAAACUUUAUCUCUUUUUUGUUUUACUAAACUUUGAUCUGAGCUCACCAUUGCAUGU